CCCUUAGAUGUUCUGGGCCGCACGCGCGCUACACUGAUACGUUCAGCGAGUAUAUAACCUUGAUUGGAAAAUCUGGGUAAUCUUUUGAAUGCGUAUCGUGCUAGGGAUAGAUUAUUGCAAUUAUUAAUCUUGAACGGGGAAUUCCUAGUAAACGCAAGUCAUCAGCUUGCAUUGAUUACGUCCCUGCCCUUUGUACACACCGCCUGUCGCACAAACCGAUUGAAUGAUUCGGUGAAAAUUUUGGACAUCGAGAGUGGUGAUUAAUUUCGCUGCUCUUAAAUGGAAAGAAUUUAAACCUAAUUAUUUAGAGGAUUGUGAAGUCAUAACA
rnacentral:rRNA from 1 species